AGCGCAGACGGUUAUUUAAGCAAGAUGUGAAAGCCCCGGGCUCAACCUGGGAACUGCGUUUUGAACUGGGUAACUAGAGUGUGUCAGAGGGGGGUAGAAUUCCACGUGUAGCAGUGAAAUGCGUAGAGAUGUGGAGGAAUACCGAUGGCGAAGGCAGCCCCCUGGGAUAACACUGACGUUCAUGCUCGAAGCGUGGGUAGCAAAC
rnacentral:rRNA from 1 species